AUUGAACGCUGGCGGCAUGCCUUACACACGCAAGUCGAACGGUAGAGGGGGCAACCCCUCGAGAGUGGCGAACGGGUGAGUAAUAUAUCGGAACGUGCCCAGUCGUGGGGGAUAACGUAGCGAAAGUUACGCUAAUACCGCAUACGAUCUAAGGAUGAAAGCGGGGGAUCGCAAGACCUCGCGCGAUUGGAGCGGCCGAUAUCAGAUUAGGUAGUUGGUGGGGUAAAGGCUCACCAAGCCAACGAUCUGUAGCUGGUCUGAGAGGACGACCAGCCACACUGGAACUGAGACACGGUCCAGACUCCUACGGGAGGCAGCAGUGGGGAAUUUUGGACAAUGGACGCAAGUCUGAUCCAGCCAUUCCGCGUGCAGGAUGAAGGCCCUCGGGUUGUAAACUGCUUUGGUACGGAACGAAAAGGUCUCUCUUAAUACGGGGGGCUCAUGACGGUACCGUAAGAAUAAGCACCGGCUAACUACGUGCCAGCAGCCGCCGUAA
rnacentral:rRNA from 1 species